UCUGGUAAAAAGUGCUGCAUCUAUGAUCUC
rnacentral:piRNA from 1 species